GCAAGCUAGGCAGGGGGGUUAGCGUUCCCUUGUUAUCGUCAAUACGCUUUAGGCGAUGCCGAAGCCCAAUUAAGGGUUACUCUUGUUUCAGUGGUCCUGGUCGUCUUUGUUGAUGGCCUGUCCUUUGGGACCGCACCUGUCCGAACCGUGUCAGAUCCUGACGGAAGCAGCACUAAGGACUGUGUGUUGGUGUUCAAAGGGUUGCAGGUCUGAGAAGCUGCUGGGGAAGCUGCUGUUGCUUGAGUGGUUCGACUGCGGGUGUGC
rnacentral:SRP_RNA from 1 species